rnacentral:rRNA from 1 species
CGAAGUAAUGUGAAUUGCAGAAUUCAGUGAAUCAUCGAAUCUUUGAACGCAUCUUGCGCUCCUUGGUAUUCCGAGGAGCAUGCCUGUUUGAGUGUCGUGAACUCCCUCAACCCUUACCCCUUAGGGGGGCGGGGUUGGAUUUGGACGCUGCUGCGAGUCUCGACUCGACGGCUCGUCUUGAAAUGCAUCAGCUGGUCCGCCGCAAAAAGGUAUCGACAAACGGUGUGAUAAGAAACGCUUCGUGACUGUAGCGCCGUUCGACUUACCUCUAGGAGGGCUGCUUCCAACCGUCUUCGGGACAAUAACACAUUCAUGUCAUCUGACCUCAAAUCAGGUAGGACUACCCGCUGAACUUAAGCAUAUCAAUAAGCGGAGGACAAGAAACUAACAAGGAUUCCCCUAGUAACGGCGAGUGAAGCGGGAAGAGCUCAAAUUUGUAAUCUGGCGGUCUCAGGCCGUCCGAGUUGUAGUCUGGAGAAGCGUUUUCCGCGUCGGACCGUGUACAAGUCCCUUGGAACAGGGCGUCAUAGAGGGUGAGAAUCCCGUCUUCGACACGGACUGCCGAUGCUUUGUGAUGCGCUCUCGAAGAGUCGAGUUGUUUGGGAAUGCAGCUCAAAACGGGUGGUAAAUUCCAUCUAAAGCUAAAUAUUGGCGAAAGACCGAUAGCGAACAAGUACCGUGAGGGAAAGAUGAAAAGCACUUUGGAAAGAGAGUUAAACAGUACGUGAAAUUGUUGAAAGGGAAACGCUUGAAGUCAGUCGCGUCUUCCGGGACUCAGCCUCGCUCCUGCUUGGUGCAUUUCCCGGAGUGACGGGCCAGCAUCGAUUUCGGUCGUCGGAGAAAGGCCGAGGGAAUGUGGCACCCUUCGGGGUGUGUUAUAGCCCUCGGUCGUAUGCGACGACUGGGAUCGAGGAUCGCAGCACGCCUUUAUGGCCGGGGUUCGCCCACGUAACGUGCUUAGGAUGCUGGCGUAAUGGCUUUAAGCGACCCGUCUUGAAACACGGACCAAGGAGUCUAACAUGCCUGCGAGUGUUUGGGUGGAAAACCCGGACGCGGAAUGAAAGUGAACAAGUUGGGACCUCUGUCGCGGAGGGCACCGACGCCCGGACCAGACCUUUUGUGACGGUUCCGAGGUAGAGCAUGUAUGUUGGGACCCGAAAGAUGGUGAACUAUGCCUGAGUAGGGUGAAGCCAGAGGAAACUCUGGUGGAGGCUCGUAGCGAUUCUGACGUGCAAAUCGAUCGUCGAACUUGGGUAUAGGGGCGAAAGACUAAUCGAACCAUCUAGUAGCUGGUUCCUGCCGAAGUUUCCCUCCAGGAUAGCAGAGACUCAUAUCAGAUUUAUGUGGUAAAGCGAAUGAUUAGGGGCCUUGGGGUUGAAACAACCUUAACCCAUUCUCAAACUUUAAAUAUGUAAGAACAAGCCGUCGCUUGAUUGGACCGCUUGGUGAAUGAGAGUCUCUAGUGGGCCAUUUUUGGUAAGCAGAACUGGCGAUGCGGGAUGAACCGAUCGCGAGGUUAAGGUGCCGGAAUACACGCUCAUCAGACACCACAAAAUGUGUGAGUUCAUCUAGACAGCAGGACGGUGGCCAUGGAAGUCGGAAUCCGCUAAGGAGUGUGUAACAACUCACCUGCCGAAUGAACUUGCCAUGAAAAUGGAUGGCGCUCAAGCGUGUUACCCAUACCUCGCCGUCAGCGUUGAAGUGACGCGCUGACGAGUAGGCAGGCGUAAGGGUUUGUGAAGAAGCCUUGGCAGUGAUGCUGGGUGAAACAACCUUUAGUGCAGAUCUUGG